UACGUAGGGUGCGGAGCGUUAAUCGGAAUUCUAGGGCGUGAACGUGACGCAGGCGGUUCGUUGGUGUCGGUGGUGAAAUCCCCGGGCUUAACCUGGGAAUGGCCUGGAAACUGGCGAACUGGAGUGCGGCAGAGGGGGGUGGAAUUCCGCGUGUAGCAGUGAAAUGCGUAGAGAUGCGGAGGAACACCGAUGGCGAAGGCAGCCCCCUGGGCUAGCACUGACGCUCAGGCACGAAAGCGUGGGGAGCAAACAGG
rnacentral:rRNA from 1 species